UGGGGAAUUUUGGACAAUGGGGGAAACCCUGAUCCAGCCAUCCCGCGUGUGCGAUGAAGGCCUUCGGGUUGUAAAGCACCUUUGGCAGGAAAGAAACGUCGCGGGUUAAUACCCCGCGAAACUGACGGUACCUGCAGAAUAAGCACCGGCUAACUACGUGCCAGCAGCCGCGGUAAUACGUAGGGUGCAAGCGUUAAUCGGAAUUACUGGGCGUAAAGCGUGCGCAGGCGGUUCGGAAAGAAAGAUGUGAAAUCCCAGAGCUUAACUUUGGAACUGCAUUUUUAACUACCGGGCUAGAGUGUGUCAGAGGGAGGUGGAAUUCCGCGUGUAGCAGUGAAAUGCGUAGAUAUGCGGAGGAACACCGAUGGCGAAGGCAGCCUCCUGGGAUAACACUGACGCUCAUGCACGAAAGCGUGGGGAGCAAACAGGAUUAGAUACCCUGGUAGUCCACGCCCUAAACGAUGUCAACUAGCUGUUGGGGCCUUCGGGCCUUGGUAGCGCAGCUAACGCGUGAAGUUGACCGCCUGGGGAGUACGGUCGCAAGAUUAAAACUCAAAUGAAUUGACGGGGUCGAU
rnacentral:rRNA from 1 species